UCCAAACUGCCUGUCUCAUGACACCUCUUCUGAGAAUGAGCUUCCUUUCAACUGACAGCCCUGGGUGACAGUUACUGCUGUUUAACUGAUGUGCUGAGAGCCUCUGGCAUCAUGAGCAGCUGCAGAACAGAGGGUCAGGAGAGCUUCAGAAAAGACAGACCCAGCGUCCCUCUAACUGGAACGUCCAGGGUGCACCAUCGCUUGCUGGAAAUUGCUUCUGCGGUUUUCUGAAACAAGCCCAGAUAAACAGUUGAUCAAAAACAAGGGAAACACAGCUCCUGUUUCAACUGACACUAGCUGCCCUUCGUCAGUGCAGCCCAGGUGACUGUACCGCAGCGAUCACAGGGCCUUCGAGGUGUCAGAAGAACA